UACAGAGGGUGCGAGCGUUAAUCGGAAUUACUGGGCGUAAAGCGUGCGUAGAUGGUUAUGUAAGUCGGAUGUGAAAGCCCCGGGCUCAACCUGGGAAUUGCAUUCGAGACUGCAUAGCUAGGAUGCGGAAGAGGGAAGCGGAAUUUCCGGUGUAGCGGUGAAAUGCGCAGAUAUCAGGAGGAACACCGAUGGCGAAGGCAGGUCUCUGGGCAUUAACUGACGCUGAGGAGCGAAAGCAUGGGGAGCAAACAGG
rnacentral:rRNA from 1 species